UAAUGUAUUGUAAUUUUAAUGACUGCAUCUAAAUGAAAUCUAAUUAUUCUUGAUACAGACCAAACUGCAACAAUCGUCACAACCGAGCACCCAGAGUUGUUCAUACCCGUCGAUUCGCAAAAUGAAUUAUUUAUACAGAUAGAGUCGCCAAUCGAUUUUAAUCAACCAGGUGAGAUUUUUUAUUAAAAUACUAAAAUGUUUACAUCGUUUCUAUGUGCUUACGUGUGCGCACGCGCACUCUGGUGUGUGCACCGUCGUGCAUGUGCGCAGGCGUGCAUGUAAUUACUAGCGUUCGGAAGCCCCCGAGCGUUGCUAAAAUGAAAUGUAAGACGUACUAAGGUGCUUUAGACGUAUCAAAAGUAUUGUUGAAUCAUCGGGUAA